CCUACGGGUGGCAGCAGUGAGGAAUAUUGGUCAAUGGGCGCGAGCCUGAACCAGCCAAGUCGCGUGAGGGAAGACGGUCCUAAGGAUUGUAAACCUCUUUUGUCGGGGAGCAAAAGACGCCACGCGUGGCGUUCCGAGAGUACCCGAAGAAAAAGCAUCGGCUAACUCCGUGCCAGCAGCCGCGGUAAUACGGAGGAUGCGAGCGUUAUCCGGAUUUAUUGGGUUUAAAGGGUGCGUAGGCGGAAGAUCAAGUCAGCGGUAAAAUUGAGAGGCUCAACCUCUUCGAGCCGUUGAAACUGGUUGUCUUGAGUGAGUGAGAGGUAUGCGGAAUGCGUGGUGUAGCGGUGAAAUGCAUAGAUAUCACGCAGAACUCCGAUUGCGAAGGCAGCAUACCGGCGCUCAACUGACGCUGAUGCACGAAAGUGUGGGUAUCGAACAGGAUUAGAUACCCGAGUAGUC
rnacentral:rRNA from 1 species